GAGAGAAAGAGAGAUGGGUACAGAGAGAGAGAGUUACAGAGAGAAAGAGAGAUGGAGAGAUGGGUACAGAGUGAGAGAGAGUUACAGAGAGAAAGAGAGAUGGAGAGAUGGGUACAGAGUGAGAGAGAGUUACAGAGAGAAAGAGAGAUGGAGAGAUGGGAACAGAUUGAGAGGGAUACAGAGAGAGAGAGAGUUACAGAGGGGGAUACAGAGAGAUGGGAACAGAGUGAGGGAUACAGAAUGAAAGAGAGAUGGAUACAGAAGAGAGUUACAGAGGGGGAUACAGAGAGAUGGGAACAGAGUGAGAGGGAUACAGAAUGAAAGAGAGAUGGGUACAGAGUGAGAGAGAUACAGAGAGGGAUACAGAGAGAUGGAGAGAUGGGAUCAGAGUGAGAGAGAUACAGAGAGAUGGGUACAGAGUGAGAGGGAUACAGAGAGGGAUACAGAGAGAUGGGUACAGAGAGGGAUACAGAGAGAUGGAGAGAUGGGAACAGAGUGAGAGGGAUACAGAGUGAGAGAGUUACAGAGAGGGAUACAGAGAGAUGGAACAGAGUG
ensembl:lncRNA